rnacentral:snoRNA from 1 species
GAUGAGGAAGCAGUCUGUCAACUAUAAUAGAAAUGUAUCUCAUAGAGUAACUGUGUGGUUUCCUUUACUUACAGAACUACAUGCUAGAUCUCUGAGAAAGAACUACAAGACAGAG